UUGACCUCGAAUCAGGUAGGACUACCCGCUGAACUUAAGCAUAUCAAUAAGCCGGAGGA
rnacentral:rRNA from 1 species